rfam:Helianthus annuus linkage group 1, whole genome shotgun sequence.
AUACCAUGAUGAAGGCAAUUCCUUUGAAGCUCCUUGAACCUAUCCCAGGUCUCUGAGAAACUUUCAUCCUCUUCUUGCUCAAAUUCAUAUAUUUUGCUACGCAAGCGAUU